ensembl:misc_RNA
GACCUUCAUCUUCUUUUUCUGAUGGAAAUCAGAGGCCUUGAAGGAAGCCAAAGGGUCCCUCCUUGCUCAGCUCUCCAGCCACUGCCUCUGAAAUGGGCACUGCUUUUCUUGACUGCUCAGGGACUCUGACAAAAC